UACAAAGGAAUUGACGGAACCGCACAAGCGUGGAGUAUGUUGUUAAUUCGAAGAUACACGAAGAACCUUACCAGGUCUUGACAUACCAUUGACAGGUGUAGAGAUACACUCUCCUUCGGGCAAUGGAUACAGGUGGUGCAUGGUUGUCGUCAGCUCGUGCCGUGAGGUGUUGGGUUAAGUCCCGCAACGAGCGCAACCCUCAUUGUUAGUUACUACCAUUCAGUUGAGGACUCUAAUGAGACUGCCAACGACAAGUUGGAGGAAGGUGGGGAUGACGUCAAAUCAUCAUGCCCUUUAUGACCUGGGCUACAAACGUACUACAAUGGCCAAUACAAAGAGAUGCGAAGCGGUGACGUGAAGCGAACCUCAGAAAGUUGGUCUCAGUUCAGAUUGAAGUCUGCAACUCGACUUCAUGAAGGCGGAAUCGCUAGUAAUCGCGGGUCUGCAGACCGCGGUGAAUACGUUCCCGGGUUUU
rnacentral:rRNA from 1 species